rnacentral:tRNA from 1 species
GUGGUAGUAGCUCAGUUGGUUAGAGCGGCGGAUUGUGGUUCCGCAGGUCGGGGGUUCGAGCCCCCUCUAUCACC